UACAGAGGUGGCAAGCGUUGUUCGGAAUUACUGGGCGUAAAGGGCGCGUAGGCGGCUUGGUCAGUCCCGUGUGAAAUCCCUCGGCUCAACUGAGGAACUGCACGGGAAACUGCCUGGCUUGAGUUCGGGAGAGGGAAGCGGAAUUCCCGGUGUAGUGGUGAUAUGCGUAGAUAUCGGGAGGAACACCAGUGGCGAAGGCGGCUCUCUGGGACGUUACUGACGCUGAGACGCGAAAGCGUGGGGAGCAAACAGG
rnacentral:rRNA from 1 species